rnacentral:rRNA from 1 species
GACAGAGGCCCCAAGCGUUAAUCGGAAUUACUGGGCGUAAAGCGUGCGCAGGCGGUGAUGUAAGACAGUUGUGAAAUCCCCGGGCUCAACCUGGGAACUGCAUCUGUGACUGCAUCGCUGGAGUGCGGCAGAGGGGGAUGGAAUUCCGCGUGUAGCAGUGAAAUGCGUAGAUAUGCGGAGGAACACCGAUGGCGAAGGCAAUCCCCUGGGCCUGCACUGACGCUCAUGCACGAAAGCGUGGGGAGCAAACAGG